rnacentral:rRNA from 1 species
UACGAAGGGGGCUAGCGUUGUUCGGAAUCACUGGGCGUAAAGCGCACGUAGGCGGACUUUCAAGUCAGGGGUGAAAUCCCGGGGCUCAACCUCGGAAUUGCUUUUGAUACUGUAGGUCUCGAGUCCGGAAGAGGUGGGUGGAAUUCCUAGUGUAGAGGUGAAAUUCGUAGAUAUUAGGAAGAACACCGGUGGCGAAGGCGGCCCACUGGUCCGGUACUGACGCUGAGGUGCGAAAGCGUGGGGAGCAAACAGG